rnacentral:lncRNA from 1 species
CCCUUCCCGGUACAGGACCCCCACCUUCGCUCCUGGGAGCCCCGCUGCACCCCAGGAGUUCCAUUCCAGCCUCCCCAGUGCGAGUGCGGCCGAGCGCUGACUUUUGGGGGCUCCCUCCCCCGUCUCACUGGGUCCCUCUGCGGCUCCCCCGCCCGCUGUCCCGGUUCAGACGUGGCUGCACCCCGGAGGGGGGCGCCGGCCGAGACCUGAGACGUGGCGCUCCCUCUCUGCCGGCCUCGGCUUCAGUGCUUGAAUUUCAGCCACAUCCCUAAGCUGCCAUCUCAGACCAGAGGAACAGGGAGGGGGGCUUUCUGGAAAGAACAUCACCUGGAAGAAAUCAGGACAUGACUGUGGGCCAUGAGUGACCUUCAAAGGAAAGCCGGGUAUCUGUGGUCUUUAAGAUGUGCAGGAGAAUGUGAUUCCUUACCAAUGGAGGGGAUUCAGUUCCUCCAGGUCUGGCAACCCUGCA